GGGUGAGUAACACGUAUGGAACCUGCCCGUAGCAGGGGGAUAAGCGGAAGAAAUUCCGUCUAAUACCGCGUAAUAACUCCGAGAGGCAUCUCCUGGGGUUUAAAGGGUAACACCGGCUACGGAUGGCCAUGCGGCGCAUUAGCUAGUUGGCGGGGUAACGGCCCACCAAGGCGACGAUGCGUAGGGGUUCUGAGAGGAAGGUCCCCCACACUGGUACUGAGACACGGACCAGACUCCUACGGGAGGCAGCAGUGAGGAAUAUUGGUCAAUGGGCGCGAGCCUGAACCAGCCAAGUCGCGUGAGGGAAGACGGUCCUAUGGAUUGUAAACCUCUUUUGUCGGGGAGCAAAAGACGCCACGCGUGGCGUUCCGAGAGUACCCGAAGAAAAAGCAUCGGCUAACUCCGUGCCAGCAGCCGCGGUAAUACGGAGGAUGCGAGCGUUAUCCGGAUUUAUUGGGUUUAAAGGGUGCGCAGGCGGAAGAUCAAGUCAGCGGUAAAAUUGAGAGGCUCAACCUCUUCGAGCCGUUGAAACUGGUUUUCUCGAGUGAGCGAGAAGUAUGCGGAAUGCGUGGUGUAGCGGUGAAAUGCAUAGAUAUCACGCAGAACUCCGAUUGCGAAGGCAGCAUACCGGCGCUCAACUGACGCUCAUGCACGAAAGUGUGGGUAUCGAACAGGAUUAGAUACCCUGGUAGUCCACACAGUAAACGAUG
rnacentral:rRNA from 1 species